UACGGAGGGUGCAAGCAUUAAUCGGAUUUAUUGGGCGUAAAGGGCGCGUAGGCGGGAAUGUAAGUCAGACGUGAAAUUCCGGGGCUCAACCUCGGAGCGGCAUUUGAAACUACAUUUCUAGAGGGUAGAAGGAGAAAACAGAAUUCCACAAGUAGCGGUGAAAUGCGUAGAUAUGUGGAAGAAUACCGGUGGCGAAGGCGGUUUUCUAUUUUAUUCCUGACGCUGAAGCGCGAAAGCAAGGGGAUCAAACAGG
rnacentral:rRNA from 1 species